rnacentral:rRNA from 1 species
GUUCUUUUGAAUAUAAUUUAAGAUCGGGCCUGCUCGAUGACAAGGGUUAAAUGGCUGCAGUAUUUUGACUGUACUAAGGUAGCAUAAUCAUUAGUUUCUUAAUUGGAAACUGGAAUGAAAGGUUUGAUGAAAAAAUAACUGUCUCUUUUAUAUAAAUAGAAUUUUAUUUUUGAGUUAAAAAGCUUAAAUUUAGUUAAAAGACGAGAAGACCCUAUAGAGUUUUAUAAUUUGUUGAUUUUUAUUAAUGAAGUUAAAAAUUUAUUUUAAUCAUUAAGGUUAUUUGAUUGGGGUGAUUUAAAAAUUAAUUAAACUUUUUAAAAAUAUAACUUAAAUUUAAGGUUUGUUUGAUCCGUUUCUAACGAUUAAAAGAAUAAAUUACCUUAGGGAUAACAGCAUAAUCUUUUUUAAGAGUUCAAAUCGAUAAAAAGGAUUGUGA